UGGAAGCAGAUCUAGCUGGGUUUUCCUCAUACCCAUGAGGAAGGUGAGAGGAGAGAGCUGCGCGUCCGCUCCUGCACGGUGGCAUUCGUUCCCGUGCACUCUCUUCCUCCAGUUUUGGGUUAUUCACAUAGGUCCAUAGCAGAGCAAGGUGCUUUGCAAGCACGUAGAGAUACAAAUGCGCUGUAAUGUUUUUGUACUCCAUCCUAGUGCCUUGGCUAUAACCCACAAGAGACAGCUGCGUUUGCAUGUAAAUCAAUAGGGCUUUUCUUCAGAUAGUCACAGCUGGCACAUUUUUCUCCUCUGCGCUUUUUGGUAAAAUGAAGCUGUGCCACUAUGUGUAGACUGACAUGUGAUUCCAGCGCAAACUUCACACUAAACAUCGAGAUUUGGUUUCUCCUGUUGGUCGAUACCCUUUGUAUGCUUUGGCUCCUCUGUAAACUUUGGAAACUGUAAUGAAAGGCGUUGCAAAACCGUCCUGUACUUCCCCUGCUCAGCAGGCGCUUGCAAGAAGGAGCACGACUUCCUCCGCCGGCGGCUACAGCCCAGCUCGGCGGGUGGAGGCUUGCGGUCUGGUGCCUGCUCCGGGGCUCGGCACGGUUCAGUCUCCAGACCGAGCAAUGCUGAAUCCUCUGUCGAAAGGCGUCACCGCUUCCCUGGGAACUGUGAAAAGCGGCUGACACGGAAAGGCACGCACGGCUGCGUCUGAGC